CCAGACUCCUACGGGAGGCAGCAGUGAGGAAUAUUGGUCAAUGGGCGAGAGCCUGAACCAGCCAAGUCGCGUGAAGGACGACGGUUCUAUGGAUUGUAAACUUCUUUUGUAGAGGAAUAAUGGCAGCUACGUGUAGCUGAGAUGCAUGUACUCUACGAAUAAGUAUCGGCUAACUCCGUGCCAGCAGCCGCGGUAAUACGGAGGAUACGAGCGUUAUCCGGAAUUAUUGGGUUUAAAGGGUGCGUAGGUGGCGUAUUAAGUCAGUGGUGAAAAGCUGCAGCUCAACUGUAGUCUUGCCGUUGAAACUGAUAUGCUAGAGAGGAGACGAGGUAUGCGGAAUGUGUGGUGUAGCGGUGAAAUGCAUAGAUAUCACACAGAACGCCGAUUGCGAAGGCAGCGUACCAGGCUCCGUCUGACACUGAAGCACGAAAGCGUGGGGAUCAAACAGGAUUAGAUACCCUGGUAGUCCACGCAGUAAACGAUGAAUACUAGAUUUUUGCGAUAUACUGUAAGAGUCUAAGCGGAAGCGAUAAGUAUUCCACCUGGGGAGUACGCCGGCAACGGUGAAACUCAAAGGAAUUGACGGGGGCCCGCACAAGAAGGGC
rnacentral:rRNA from 1 species